UACGAAGGGUGCAAGCGUUAAUCGGAAUUACUGGGCGUAAAGGGUGCGUAGGCGGUUGUUUAAGUCUGUCGUGAAAUCCCCGGGCUCAACCUGGGAAUGGCGAUGGAUACUGGGCAGCUAGAGUGUGUCAGAGGAUGGUGGAAUUCCCGGUGUAGCGGUGAAAUGCGUAGAGAUCGGGAGGAACAUCAGUGGCGAAGGCGGCCAUCUGGGACAACACUGACGCUGAAGCACGAAAGCCAGGGGAGCGAACGGG
rnacentral:rRNA from 1 species